GCUUAAUUCUGCUUAAUUGCUCAGCUCUCUUUUAACUACCAGUUUCAUCUCUACACGCAAAAGGACUGUAUAUGAGGGAUUCAAAGAAGAUGGAGUGGAGCAGAGUAUCUGCUGUCCUGGCUGUGCCUUCUUUCCUGCUGCCUGGGUGAAAGUCCACAGGAACCAGGCUGAUAUCCCAUUGAGAUACCUAUUGGCCCAAUUACUCCUUGUGAAAUCAGAGUUCAAGCUGACAACAACGAGUUAUGCAAACACCAAUAUGUUAUCC
ensembl:lncRNA